GAUGAACGCUGGCGGCGUGCCUAAUACAUGCAAGUCGAGCGAACAGACGAGGAGCUUGCUCCUUUGACGUUAGCGGCGGACGGGUGAGUAACACGUGGGUAACCUACCUAUAAGACUGGGAUAACUUCGGGAAACCGGAGCUAAUACCGGAUAAUAUUUCGAACCGCAUGGUUCGAUAGUGAAAGAUGGCUUUGCUAUCACUUAUAGAUGGACCUGCGCCGUAUUAGCUAGUUGGUAAGGUAACGGCUUACCAAGGCAACGAUACGUAGCCGACCUGAGAGGGUGAUCGGCCACACUGGAACUGAGACACGGUCCAGACUCCUACGGGAGGCAGCAGUAGGGAAUCUUCCGCAAUGGGCGAAAGCCUGACGGAGCAACGCCGCGUGAGUGAUGAAGGUCUUCGGAUCGUAAAACUCUGUUAUUAGGGAAGAAUAAACGUGUAAGUAACUGUGCACGUCUUGACGGUACCUAAUCAGAAAGCCACGGCUAACUACGUGCCAGCAGCCGCGGUAAUACGUAGGUGGCAAGCGUUAUCCGGAAUUAUUGGGCAUAAAGCGCGCGUAGGCGGUUUUUUAAGUCUGAUGUGAAAGCCCACGGCUCAACCGUGGAGGGUCAUUGGAAACUGGAAAACUUGAGUGCAGAAGAGGAAAGUGGAAUUCCAUGUGUAGCGGUGAAAUGCGCAGAGAUAUGGAGGAACACCAGUGGCGAAGGCGACUUUCUGGUCUGUAACUGACGCUGAUGUGCGAAAGCGUGGGGAUCAAACAGG
rnacentral:rRNA from 1 species